rnacentral:rRNA from 1 species
UACGGAGGGUGCGAGCGUUGUCCGGAAUCACUGGGCGUAAAGGGCGCGUAGGCGGCUUGGGAAGUCCGUGGUGAAAGCUCGUGGCUCAACUGCGAGUCGGCCAUGGAUACUCCUAAGCUCGAGUCGACUAGAGGCAGAUGGAAUUCCGGGUGUAGCGGUGGAAUGCGUAGAGAUCCGGAAGAACACCGGUGGCGAAGGCGGAUCUCUGGGCCAUUACUGACGCUGAGGAGCGAAAGCGUGGGGAGCGAACAGG